rnacentral:rRNA from 1 species
UACGUAGGGUGCAAGCGUUGUCCGGAAUUAUUGGGCGUAAAGAGCUCGUAGGCGGUCUGUCGCGUCGGCUGUGAAAACCCGAGGCUCAACCUCGGGCCUGCAGUCGAUACGGGCAAACUAGAGUACUGCAGGGGAGACUGGAAUUCCUGGUGUAGCGGUGAAAUGCGUAGAUACUGGGAGGAACACCGGUGGCGAAGGCGGCUACCUGGACCGGUUCUGACGCUGAUGCGCGAAAGCGUGGGUAGCAAACAGG